rnacentral:rRNA from 1 species
GCAAGCCCUCGCUGAAGGAUGAGUUCGCGUACCAUUAGCUUGUUGGUAGGGUAAUGGCCUACCAAGGCGACGAUGGUUAGCUGGUCUGAGAGGAUGAUCAGCCACACUGGAACUGAGACACGGUCCAGACUCCUACGGGAGGCAGCAGUGAGGAAUCUUGCGCAAUGGGGGAAACCCUGACGCAGCAACGCCGCGUGAGUGAGGAAGGUCUUCGGAUCGUAAAGCUCUGUCAGUUGGAAAGAAAUGUCUGAGAGUCAAUCCCUUUCAGGCUUGACGGUACCAACAGAGGAAGCACCGGCUAACUCCGUGCCAGCAGCCGCGGUAAUACGGGGGGUGCAAGCGUUGUUCGGAAUUAUUGGGCGUAAAGAGCGUGUAGGCGGCCGGAUAUGUCAGAUGUGAAAGCCCCGGGCUUAACCCGGGAAGUGCAUUUGAAACUGUCCGGCUCGAGUAAGGGAGAGGGAAGUGGAAUUCCUGGUGUAGAGGUGAAAUUCGUAGAUAUCAGGAGGAACACCGGUGGCGAAGGCGACUUCCUGGCCCUAUACUGACGCUGAGACGCGAGAGCGUGGGUAGCAAACAGGAUUAGAUACCCUGGUAGUCCACGCCGUAAACGAUGUUCACUAGGUGUUGGGGGUAUUGACCCCCUCAGUGCCGGAGCUAACGCA